rnacentral:rRNA from 1 species
UCCCGCCGGACCUGACUGCUAUCGGAUUGAUACUAAGCCAUGCGAGUCAUUGCAGCAAUGCAAGGCAGACGGCUCAGUAACGCGUAGUCAACCUAACCUAUGGACGGGAAUAACCUCGGGAAACUGAGAAUAAUGCCCGAUAGAACACUAUACCUGGAAUGGUUUGUGUUCCAAAUGAUUUAUCGCCGUAGGAUGGGACUGCGGCCUAUCAGUUUGUUGGUGAGGUAAUGGCCCACCAAGACUAUUACAGGUACGGGCUCUGAGAGGAGAAGCCCGGAGAUGGGUACUGAGACACGGACCCAGGCCCUAUGGGGCGCAGCAGGCGAGAAAACUUUGCAAUGUGCGAAAGCACGACAAGGUUAAUCCGAGUGAUUUCUGCUAAAGAAAUCUUUUGCCAGUCAUAAAACCACUGGUGAAUAAGGGGUGGGCAAGUUCUGGUGUCAGCCGCCGCGGUAAAACCAGCACCUCAAGUGGUCAGGAUGAUUAUUGGGCCUAAAGCAUCCGUAGCCGGCUUUGUAAGUUUUCGGUUAAAUCCAUGUGCUCAACGCAUGGGCUGCCGAAAAUACUGCAUGGCUAGGGAGUGGGAGAGGUAGACGGUACUCAGUAGGUAGGGGUAAAAUCCUUUGAUCUAUUGAUGACCACCUGUGGCGAAGGCGGUCUACCAGAACACGUUCGACGGUGAGGGAUGAAAGCUGGGGGAGCAAACCGGAUUAGAUACCCGGGUAGUCCCAGCUGUAAACGAUGCAGACUCGAUGAUGCAUUGGCAUAAUAGCCAUUGCAGUGUCGCAGGGAAGCCGUUAAGUCUGCCGCCUGGGAAGUACGUACGCAAGUAUGAAACUUAAAGGAAUUGGCGGGGGAGCACACAAGGGUGAAGCCUGCGGUUCA